rnacentral:rRNA from 1 species
AGAGUUUGAUCCUGGCUCAGAUUGAACGCUGGCGGAAUGCUUUACACAUGCAAGUCGAACGGCAGCAUAGGUGCUUGCACCUGAUGGCGAGUGGCGAACGGGUGAGUAAUACAUCGGAACGUGCCCAGUCGUGGGGGAUAACGUAGCGAAAGUUACGCUAAUACCGCAUACGAUCUACGGAUGAAAGCGGGGGACCGUAAGGCCUCGCGCGAUUGGAGCGGCCGAUGUUAGAUUAGGUAGUUGGUGGGGUAAAGGCUCACUAAGCCGACGAUCUAUAGCUGGUCUGAGAGGAUGAUCAGCCACACUGGGACUGAGACACGGCCCAGACUCCUACGGGAGGCAGCAGUGGGGAAUUUUGGACAAUGGGCGCAAGCCUGAUCCAGCCAUUCCGCGUGCAGGACGAAGGCCUUCGGGUUGUAAACUGCUUUUGUACAGAACGAAAAGCUCUGGGUUAAUACCCUGGGGUCAUGACGGUACUGUAAGAAUAAGCACCGGCUAACUACGUGCCAGCAGCCGCGGUAAU